AUCAAACACAUUGACUAUCAAAACUUUUUACUAUUUAUAUGUUUUAGCAAACAAGGGAAUUGGUGUUACAAGCUAAAAGUUAUCUAGUUAUCUUAUUAAUUUGUAUUCUCUCACUUGAUGGUUCUCUCUUGCUCAUUAGUCUGCAUGCUCAGUCUUUCUCUUUUUUUGGGGUCGGUGGUCCAUGAGUUGGUAGGUGGGAUAUCCCCCUGCUGGAAUUAUAUUUUACCCAGUCGGAACUGAUUCAGCACAGUUGCCCCGUUGGGUUUAUUAAUUUAUUCCUUAUCGUGGGAGUUCUGCCCGCUGUCCUUGUGGCCCGUCAAUUCUGCAUUCUUUGUGUCCGCUAUCAGCAGUACAUCCUUCUUCCCUAGCUUCGUUACCCUCCCCCUAGGUCUGAGGUCAUUGAAACACGUUGAGCCCUAGACCUUAAGAAGGCAAUUCCAGUGACAAUUCAUUUGUCCUUCUAACCCCUGGAAAUCCCUUAGAGCUCAUUGGCUGCUCCCUGUUUCAUGGAUCUCCCUUCUCGUUGUUUAGGUUUGAAAGCACACAAAUGUCAAAGAACAUUCUCUCUCAAGAAAAUCUUUACCUAUGCCGCACUUGGUAACAUUUCCCCCCUCACCCCCUCCCUCAUUCCCAGAGGCCGCUUUCCCGCGCGCGGGCGCAGUCGCGAGGCGCUCCCCCCGCGCCGCUUCCCGGCAGGCUGCGCGCGGGAGCGCCGGGCGCCGCCCGGGCGCCUCGGAGCCGCGGCGGCAGGAGAAGGAGGCCGAGGCGCCCGGCGGCCCGCUGGAGGUGUGGGAGCAAGAGGACUGGUUCCCGGGGCUGGAGCUGGGAGACCUGCUGGAGGCGGCCCGGCCGGACUGGGACCUGGACGCGGAGCUGAGCGACUGCUUCUGUGGGGAACCGGAGCCGCUGCCCGCGCCGGGCAAGGGCCCGCGGCCGGCGGCGCCCGGGCGGAGGAGCGGCGGGGCCGGGAGUCGGCUGAAGGCGGCGGCGGCGGCGCGGUUGAACCGGCUGAAGAAGAAGCAGUACGUGCUGGGGCUGGAGAGCCGCCUGCAGGGCCUGGCUGCCGAGAACCGGCAGCUGCGGGACCGCAACCGCGGCCUGAGCCGCCGCCUGCGAGAGCUGGAGCGGGAGAGCAGCUACCUGCGGGCUGUGCUGGCCAACCAGAGCGCGCUGGGGCAGCUCUUGAGCCGCCUGGCCGGGACCCGCGCCGGCGGGCUGCAGCUCAGCACCAGCCUCUUCAGGGACACGGGCAGCCGCCAGCAGCAGCAGCAGCUCCAGCCCGCCGGCGAGAGCAGCGACCACGACUACGCCCUGCCCAGCUCCCGGCCCCGCGGGCUGGAGGAGGCGGCGGCGGUGACUGAGACCGAGGAGGAGUGGGCGGCCCCCGGCGGGAUCUGCCUGCACGUGGACCGGGAUCAGGUGUCGGUGGAGUUCUGCUCCAUCUGUGCUCGGCGGGCAGCGGCCUCCUUCAAAAUUUUCUCUUUUAGGUGGUUGCCCUGCCAGGCUCCGUUGUGUAGGGGUUAAAGAACAGUCGUUUCCCACCUCGCAACCUGGUAAGGAUCAAUAUAUUCCCAUAAUGUGGUAUCAGACAGCUUGCUUUGCUUAUCCCAGUCUCUUGUAAUGACUGGUUCAGAAAAUUAUUUUUCUGUCCUUGGCCUACUCUGCCAAAAUGAUUCUAGCUCUGGAUGACAAUUUAUAGCAAAGGUUACAAUCACAUCAGUCUCAUUAGCUGUUUUCCUUUUUUCGUUUUUGAAACAACUACACUGGUUACAUAGUAGCCAAUAUAGCAGCUACAUUUUGAAUUUUAUAAAAAUGCUCAUGCAUUUGAAAUAGAAAUUUCCUAUUUAACCAAGUAUCUGAUGAGCAGAAAAAGGAAAACAUGCUAAUAAGGGGGAUGUGACACUUACUGCCUUUUAUUACAGGGGAUUGGCCCAAAAGUCUAAGUAAAUUGCUUUUUGAAUGAAAAAAAGGAAAGGAAUUGGUGACCUGUUGGUUUAAAAUGCUGUCUAGUAUUAGGGAUGCACAGUACCGUUCAAAAGCCCUUCUCUACUUGCUCUAAUUCACAGUGCAGAGUUUUACCUGAUGAAACAGCCUGAGCACUGGUUAAAUCACUGCAGAGGAAUCCUCACAUAGAGGAGUUGCUCUUGCAUGGACCUCUGAGGAGAAUUAGGUUUGAAGAAUCAGUGCAUCAAAGUAACUCAUUACUUUACCUUCCCAUGAGUAAAUCUCUGUGCCCAGGCACACUGAAAUUCCUGUGUUACUUCAGAGUAGCUUUACAUUUUAAAAAUAUUGCAUGUAUAUGCAUGUGCUUAACUCUACUGUAGAGUUCUUAAUUAAGCCUCUUACAGUAUCCAGAAAUCUAUAACCUGACAUAAUUAUAGCACAGUUUGGAGAUAAGGAAAUACGUAUCUUGAGGCUAAUGAUAGGAAAAACGCUCCAUAAUUGCUCCUGAGAUAGGAGGAGAAAUAGUUUGACAAAAAAAAUAGUGUGUGUUUUCUUGUAGUAGUCAGUGUUUCUCCCUGUCACAAAAGAUGAGUGGGUUCUUUUUUCAGUUGUAUUACAAUGUUUAGGUUGUUUAAAUGUAUGUCAGUUGGGGGAAGAAGGAUUGUGAAAAUGAUAAUAUGUAAAGUGAGGUUUCACAAAGAAUACUUUUCUAAAACAGAUUAUUUUUUUUUAAUUAUGCUAUUUAGUGUUUUUGAAGUCUUGUUUCUUAAAGCCUUAAAUUUUGUGUUUAAGGCUAAGUAGAUGAAAGCAUUUCUCUGAGUCAGUUGCUUCAUUGGUGCUAGACCUUGUCAUGUGUUCAUCAGUAGAAAAGGAGUUUGAUUUUUCUUUGUGAAACAUCACUGUGUGAUAAAGUAUAUGUGUAUUUAGCAUCCUUGUUUUUCUUUAUGCUAAAGUGGAUUCAGCUGUGUUGGGGCAGAAGAGACGGGACCAGCUGCUGGCCACAUUUCCUGCUUUAUUUUAAAAGGUAAGUGGUUCUGUUGGUUUAAGUCUGAUGGCUUCCGGAGCUAUGACAAUUCUCUGUCAUGUAAAAUACUUGGUCCAUGGGAAUCUCCAGUCGGGGUGAUUAAGGUAAGGCCAAGCUGUCUGGGUGCAGACCAGGAUGGGAAAACCACGUCACACAGCAACACUGAAUCAAGAAAACUGAAUGAUCUCUACCCGACAACAAAAGGGAGUCUGCAUCGCUGCUGCUCCUGGGUAUAGAUAAAGAAUGUGUCAUGUUCCUGCUGUAAUGACCCAUUUUUAAGGAAAAGGUAGAUAAAGAUGAUGAAACUCCUUCAAUAUAUUUUUAUCAGCAUUACAGCAUAAAUUUAACCACUUUUAAUUAAAGGUCUCAAUGCUGAAUUCUUAAUUCUCAUUAAUAAAUAUUUCCAUGUGCAUCAGGGGAUGCUAGAAUUGUACUGAAUUGACUGUUUGCCAAUAACUGUACAGCUUUUACAGUUAGAGAAACAUUUAGGUUUGGAAAAGACCCCCAGGACCAUCGAGUCCAACCUUUCACUCAUCACCAGCUCCUUGACUAGACCAUGGCACUGAGUGCCACAUCCAGUGGUUUCUUGAACACCUCUAGGGAUGGUGACUCCUGCCACCUCCUGGGCAGUCCAUUCCAAUGCUUAACAAGCCUUUCUGAAACGAAAUUCCUCCUGAUGUUCAACCUGAAACUUCCCCAGCAGCAUUUGAGGCCAUUUCCUCUUGUCCCGUCAUUUGUUCCGUGGGAGAAGAAGCCAACCCCCACCUACAGCAGGUUAAGGCCAUACAGCAGAUUGGGAGUAUUGCUUCUGUAGAAGAAUUCCUGAAUUGGCUCUCAGACUGCAGAAUACACUAAGGACACCUCAGGCAGUAGGAGAGCUGCAUUUUAUAUUGCUCUAGAAUAUACAGCCACCAAUGUGAAGACACACCCAACUCAUAAAUGUAUUACUCUGGACCACAGAUCUUGGAUGUAGGCGAAAUAACCCAGUAAUGGCACCAGCACUCAAAGGCCUCUCACACACCCCCAUCCUUCAGGAAAAGACUUAAUUUCAAGGCAAAAUGGUUGCAAAGCCAAAGGCUGUUUUUUUGAUAUGCUGGGAAGCCUGACAGGACUAUCACUCCUGAUUGCUCUGUGAUAAAAGUGUUCUCUACAGUGUGACCCAUCCAACAGUGUAAAAGAGGUAAUCUUGUGACAAAAGUGUUGUUCCAGCAGAAUGGCAAAAAGGGAAAAAAAGACUCAGAUUUUUAGUAGAUCUCUAGUAAAACCUUGCCUUGAGCUUCCCCCUUUUGGUUGCAGGUUUUUUUGGGUUUUGUGGUUUGGUUUUGGGGUUUUUUUGGGUUUGUUUGUUUGUUUGUUUUUUGGUUUUGUUUUUUUUUAAAUAAAUCUCUAUGGUUUGCAUUAUGAUGGAAAAAAUCUCUUUUUCAAGAAUACUGAUUUUUUACAGCUUCUAAAAGUUGUAGCAUCACCUUGGAACCAAACAUUAAGCAGGAACUAUAACUGCUUUAUUUACUCCCACUUCCAAAGCAACACACCUGUCUGCUAUUCAGGUGUAUACAC